UACGUAGGGGGCAAGCGUUGUUCGGAAUUACUGGGCGUAAAGGGCGCGUAGGCGGCACGGCAAGUCAGGAGUGAAAGCCCUGGGCUCAACCCGGGAACUGCUUUUGAAACUGCCGAGCUAGAGUGCGGAAGGGGCAACUGGAAUUCCCAGUGUAGCGGUGAAAUGCGUAGAUAUUGGGGAGAACACCUGAGGCGAAGGCGGGUUGCUGGGCCGACACUGACGCUGAUGCGCGAAAGCCAGGGGAGCGAACGGG
rnacentral:rRNA from 1 species